rnacentral:rRNA from 1 species
CGCAGUCUGCAACUCGACUGCGUGAAGGUGGAGUCGCUAGUAAUCGCGGAUCAGCAACGCCGCGGUGAAUGCGUUCCCGGGCCUUGUACACACCGCCCGUCAAGUCAUGAAAGUGGGCAGCACCCGAAGACGGUGGCCUAACCCUUGUGGGGGGAGCCGUCUAAGGUGAGGCUCGUGAUUGGGACUAAGUCGUAACAAGGUACC